UCCUGGGUGGUUCAGUGGAAGACUGUGCUCCCAAUGCAGAGGGCCCGGGUUCAAUUCCUGGUUGGGGAA
rnacentral:tRNA from 1 species